rnacentral:rRNA from 1 species
UCCUUAUGGAGCGAAGUCUUUGAUUCCCCGCUGCCAAGAAAAGCUUCUAGCGAGAUAAAAGGUGCCUGUACCGCAAACCGACACAGGUAGGCGAGGAGAGAAUCCUAAGGUGUGCGAGAGAACUCUGGUUAAGGAACUCGGCAAAAUGACCCCGUAACUUCGGGAGAAGGGGUGCUUUCUUAACGGAAAGCCGCAGUGAAUAGGCCCAAGCGACUGUUUAGCAAAAACACAGCUCUCUGCGAAGCCGUAAGGCGAAGUAUAGGGGGUGACACCUGCCCGGUGCUGGAAGGUUAAGGAGAGGGGUUAGCGUAAGCGAAGCUCUGAACUGAAGCCCCAGUAAACGGCGGCCGUAACUAUAACGGUCCUAAGGUAGCGAAAUUCCUUGUCGGGUAAGUUCCGACCCGCACGAAAGGUGUAACGAUUUGGGCACUGUCUCAACCAGAGACUCGGUGAAAUUAUAGUACCUGUGAAGAUGCAGGUUACCCGCGACAGGACGGAAAGACCCCGUGGAGCUUUACUGUAGCCUGAUAUUGAAUUUUGGUACAGUUUGUACAGGAUAGGCGGGAGCCAUUGAAACCGGAGCGCUAGCUUCGGUGGAGGCGCUGGUGGGAUACCGCCCUGACUGUAUUGAAAUUCUAACCUACGGGUCUUAUCGACCCGGGAGACAGUGUCAGGUGGGCAGUUUGACUGGGGCGGUCGCCUCCUAAAGUGUAACGGAGGCGCCCAAAGGUUCCCUCAGAAUGGUUGGAAAUCAUUCGUAGAGUGCAAAGGCAUAAGGGAGCUUGACUGCGAGACCUACAAGUCGAGCAGGGACGAAAGUCGGGCUUAGUGAUCCGGUGGUUCCGCAUGGAAGGGCCAUCGCUCAACGGAUAAAAGCUACCCCGGGGAUAACAGGCUUAUCUCCCCCAAGAGUCCACAUCGACGGGGAGGUUUGGCACCUCGAUGUCGGCUCAUCGCAUCCUGGGGCUGUAGUCGGUCCCAAGGGUUGGGCUGUUCGCCCAUUAAAGCGGUACGCGAGCUGGGUUCAGAACGUCGUGAGACAGUUCGGUCCCUAUCCGUCGUGGGCGUAGGAAAUUUGAGAGGAGCUGUCCUUAGUACGAGAGGACCGGGAUGGACGCACCGCUGGUGUACCAGUUGUUCUGCCAAGGGCAUAGCUGGGUAGCUAUGUGCGGAAGGGAUAAGUGCUGAAAGCAUCUAAGCAUGAAGCCCCCCUCAAGAUGAGAUUUCCCAUAGCGUAAGCUAGUAAGAUCCCUGAAAGAUGAUCAGGUUGAUAGGUUCGAGGUGGAAGCAUGGUGACAUGUGGAGCUGACGAAUACUAAUAGAUCGAGGACU